CCUGAAUGACUCUUUCUGCAUCCACCAAGUUAACCUCCUGGUCGUUGGUAUUUGGACAGGGUGGGGUGAUGCCUCGUUCCCUGAUACAAGCCGUGCGUUCAGCAGCGCUGAUCUCCCAGGAUUGAAUUCCUUCAAUUACAAGGAGGCCUCCAUCUCCUCCAGAAUGAGCAACAUAAUGAGGGAAGACCCAUCCAUGAAGAUUAAUCAUAUCUUCCCAUGGAAGAUGGAUGUGUUCAGCAUCCCUUGUUGGGCACUGACGUGGCAAGCAAUUCUUUGGUGAUUUUUGUUUACAAAGUAGAUAGAAUAAGAGAUGAAUUAUUAUUUACAGCUAAACAAAGCAAAAUAAAAAUGUUGUAUUUUAUCAAGAAAGAAUGGGAAGAAUGUGAGGGAAAAGAUGGUAAGAACUGCUAGUGAUACGAUUAGGAAGGAGACAUUGACUAGAGAGCUGGAAAUAGAGGAAAAAUUUGGCUAUGUCAGGCUAUAGAUCAAGCCAGCAACUUUAUGAAGGCUUUGCAAGCUCAUCUUUCCCAUCUCACCACAUGAAACCACCGUGCACGACUGCCAUUUGGAAUUGGAUUUGUUUAAGAUCUAUAAUCUAUAAUCUACAGCCCUAAAGCUAACCACUGCUUGAGUUCUAGACAUGGAGGAGAAGUCACCUCUCACUGGGAAUGGGAAAAACAUCAAAGAUAAUCAACAAGGUUUCAUUUGAAUUGGUCCCUUUCCAUUAGGAGAUCAAAAUCUGCAAAGGAGCAACCUACAGAUCAUCCUUUUUCUCCCUGACUUUGUGCUGUUGUAUCUGGACUUGCUGGUGUUGGCAUGCUGAUGUUAGCAGAAGACAUUCACUCCACUCUUCUCCAUGACUACUGCAGGAGUGGUAUGAAUGACAGGAAACAUGGCCAGGAAUGCAAAGCAUCCUUCAUUUUGAAAAAAAAUUUGAAAGCUUUGAAGAGAUUUUGAAAAAGAACAAGAAAGCUAUGAGUUCUUCUUUUUGUAAAGCAAAGAGGAAGCAGGAACAGAAUCAUGGCACUGAACGGCAGUUUUGUUUUCUGGUCUAUUCUGCUCAAUGCUUUAUGCAGGUUUUUCUGCAGACUAAUCCUGUGCACAUCCCCCUGUUUCCACCAAGGGCUUAAUUGCUAUUAGUUACUGAUAGUACAGCCUGGCUUAAAAUAGAAAUAAAUCCCACUGUGUUCAGUGAGGGAAAACUGGAUCUUUGUAGAACAGAGACUCCCAAAAUUGAAGUCUGCUGAUGUUAUUAUGGACAUUGAAGGGAGACAGACAAUAAUAAACUGUCCCAAUUGUGGGAUCCAGAAUGUAAAAAAUAAGUCCCAGGUUCUAAAUGAAAAUUCCUAUGACAGGAAAGAUCUGGAGGCAGGAAGAUAGUUUCGCAGCAAGUUGUGGAGAUGGGAGAGCAAAGAGAAACCAAUGGAGAAAAGGGAUGGUGGUGGAAGAGGGGACAACUCCCAAAGGAAACACGGCCUCAGCGCAUUGCUUGACAAAUGAAGAUUUAUGUCUUCCUUGCCUGUGCUUUCUUCCUUCCCACUGCUGCGACUGUGGAACAUCCUUGAAAGAAGCAAGGAAAUUAUGUUUAGUAACUGGGCUGUCUCUCCUUUGCUGAGAUAUGAGCCCUUACCUGUAGGCUGAGAAAGAGACCAGCAUGAAGGUGGGGAAGAGGGGGGGUAAGAGGGGAAGAGGAUAUCUGAACUAGACAACCUGAGAAGGCAGCUGUGAGAGAAAGAUAACAAGCAGAGACUGGUCUGCUCUCUGUGAGCAUCCUUGCAUAAAGAUACACCAAGAAUCUUAAUUUUCUGCUCUCUGUACUGUUCAUCAGAAGGACUGUGCUCAUGACACUGGAAUGAACUGUUGUACAGUUGGAAAGACAAUCUCUGCUGGAUUACAAAUUCUGGUUAUAUAAGGACUUCUUUAAAGUUUCAGGAAAUAAUAGUCUCAACUGAAAAUGUGAUUUUGUAAUAAACUAGUAAAUUUCUAGCUCUAAUAUGCAUUAAGUAAACCUUCAAAAUUGAAUUCAGCAAUAUAUAUAUACAUAGAUCUCAGAAUAUAGAAAUGAAAUAUAAAAAUAGUAUAAUUUUGAAGUUAAUUGAGAAUUUUUGAAAAGUUCCCCAAAUAUUCUGAAUUCAAGGAUGACAUUUUCACACUAAUUCUUCUUAAUCCACUAGAAAUACUUUUCUCUCUGCUUUUCAAACGUGAAGCUCUUUAAUAACUGGUGUUAAGUGAUUUCUGAAUUAUUUGCUUAACCUAUCAGUUAUCUGGUUUAAUUAAAGCUGGCCAUCAGCACCUGUUUUUUCAUCCUUUAUUAAGUGAUUGAAAUAUCCAAUUAAGGGAUGAGAAGCACCUUGUUUUCAGGUUAACAGAUGUUUUUUCAAAGAAAGCAAGGUGGGGUUUUUUGUUGUUUUAUAGAGAGAAUAAAUGUUUAUUACACAGAG